rnacentral:rRNA from 1 species
GUUUGAUCCUGGCUCAGAUUGAACGCUGGCGGCAUGCCUUACACAUGCAAGUCGAACGGUAACAGGUCUUCGGAUGCUGACGAGUGGCGAACGGGUGAGUAAUACAUCGGAACGUGCCCGAGAGUGGGGGAUAACGAAGCGAAAGCUUUGCUAAUACCGCAUACGAUCUCAGGAUGAAAGCAGGGGACCGCAAGGCCUUGCGCUCACGGAGCGGCCGAUGGCAGAUUAGGUAGUUGGUGGGAUAAAAGCUUACCAAGCCGACGAUCUGUAGCUGGUCUGAGAGGACGACCAGCCACACUGGGACUGAGACACGGCCCAGACUCCUACGGGAGGCAGCAGUGGGGAAUUUUGGACAAUGGGCGCAAGCCUGAUCCAGCCAUGCCGCGUGCAGGAUGAAGGCCUUCGGGUUGUAAACUGCUUUUGUACGGAACGAAAAGACUCUGGUUAAUACCUGGGGUCCAUGACGGUACCGUAAGAAUAAGCACCGGCUAACUACGUGCCAGCAGCCGCGGUAAU